AUUGAACGCUGGCGGCAGGCCUAACACAUGCAAGUCGAGCGGAUGAAGGGAGCUUGCUCCUGGAUUCAGCGGCGGACGGGUGAGUAAUGCCUAGGAAUCUGCCUGGUAGUGGGGGAUAACGUCCCGAAACGGGCGCUAAUACCGCAUCCGUCCUGAGGGAGAAAGUGGGGGAUCUUCGGACCUCACGCUAUCAGAUGAGCCUAGGUCGUAUUAGCUAGCUGGUGGGGUAAAGGCCUACCAAGGCGACGAUCCGUAACUGGUCUGAGAGGAUGAUCAGUCACACUGGAACUGAGACACGGUCCAGACUCCUAAGGGAGGCAGCAGUGGGGAAUAUUGGACAAUGGGCGAAAGCCUGAUCCAGCCAUGCCGCGUGUGUGAAGAAGGUCUUCGGAUUGUAAAGCACUUUAAGUUGGGAGGAAGGGCAGUAAGUUAAUACCUUGCUGUUUUGACGUUACCAACAGAAUAAGCACCGGCUAACUUCGUG
rnacentral:rRNA from 1 species